AUCAUAAUCUCAGUUAAACACGGGUUUAUCGAGAGAGUGUUCUUCGUGUUCUUGAGAUUCAAACGAAGAUUUGGAAGCGUUAUCGGACUCAGAUUUCAGUGUUCAAGUAUCCAAAUCGAAGGUUUUGGCGAGUAGAAUCAUAAUCCAACCUCAGAAUCAGUGCAGAAUCAUCAGAAGAAGCGAGACGUAGAAAGGGAAAGCAAGUGGUGAUAGAGUAAUAUAGCGAGCAAGCAUAGUUGAAACUUGAGAUCAGCUAUAUAAGUGAAGGCAGAGAAAGUUGGUAACGAUGACCCUCAGGCUAGUGGUAAGGCCAGGAUUUCAGGCUGAGAGAUGGAGAGAGCUAUCAGCAGCAAUUGGCUUUUUAUAUAUGUACUAGUUUGAAUAACAAGACACAAAUGAUGUGUAAGCUUGUAAGAAUUAAGUUUAUAUUUUGGGAUUUGGGUUUGUAAUAAUUAAAGUUAUGUUGUGGCUUGUUUUA